GCCAGUAUGGUGUAGUGGUUUGAGCACUGGACUGUGACUCUGGAGACCAGAGUUCAAAUCCUGGCUCAGCCA
rnacentral:tRNA from 1 species